rnacentral:rRNA from 1 species
CGUGUAGGCGGUUCGGAAAGUCGGGUGUGAAAGCCCUGGGCUCAACCCAGGAAGUGCACUCGAAACUCCCGAGCUAGAGUCCUGGAGAGGAAGGCGGAAUUCUCGGUGUAGAGGUGAAAUUCGUAGAUAUCGAGAGGAACAUCGGUGGCGAAGGCGGCCUUCUGGACAGCGACUGACGCUGAGACGCGAAAGCGUGGGAGCAAACA